UAGAAUGAAAAUUUCUAACUAUAGCAUUGAC
rnacentral:piRNA from 1 species